rnacentral:rRNA from 1 species
AGGGUUCGAUUCUGGCUCAGGAUGAACGCUGGCGGCGUGCUUAACACAUGCAAGUCGAACGGGAUCCAUCAGGCUUUGCUUGGUGGUGAGAGUGGCGAACGGGUGAGUAAUGCGUGACCGACCUGCCCCAUACACCGGAAUAGCUCCUGGAAACGGGUGGUAAUGCCGGAUGCUCCGACUCCUCGCAUGGGGUGUCGGGAAAGAUUUCAUCGGUAUGGGAUGGGGUCGCGUCCUAUCAGGUAGUCGGCGGGGUAACGGCCCACCGAGCCUACGACGGGUAGCCGGCCUGAGAGGGCGACCGGCCACAUUGGGACUGAGAUACGGCCCAGACUCCUACGGGAGGCAGCAGUGGGGAAUAUUGCACAAUGGGCGCAAGCCUGAUGCAGCGACGCCGCGUGCGGGAUGACGGCCUUCGGGUUGUAAACCGCUUUUGAUCGGGAGCAAGCCUUCGGGUGAGUGUACCUUUCGAAUAAGCACCGGCUAACUACGUGCCAGCAGCCGCGGUAAUACGUAGGGUGCAAGCGUUAUCCGGAAUUAUUGGGCGUAAAGGGCUCGUAGGCGGUUCGUCGCGUCCGGUGUGAAAGUCCAUCGCUUAACGGUGGAUCUGCGCCGGGUACGGGCGGGCUGGAGUGCGGUAGGGGAGACUGGAAUUCCCGGUGUAACGGUGGAAUGUGUAGAUAUCGGGAAGAACACCAAUGGCGAAGGCAGGUCUCUGGGCCGUUACUGACGCUGAGGAGCGAAAGCGUGGGGAGCGAACAGGAUUAGAUACCCUGGUAGUCCACGCCGUAAACGGUGGAUGCUGGAUGUGGGGCCCGUUCCACGGGUUCCGUGUCGGAGCUAACGCGUUAAGCAUCCCGCCUGGGGAGUACGGCCGCAAGGCUAAAACUCAAAGAAAUUGACGGGGGCCCGCACAAGCGGCGGAGCAUGCGGAUUAAUUCGAUGCAACGCGAAGAACCUUACCUGGGCUUGACAUGUUCCCGACAGCCGUAGAGAUAUGGCCUCCCUUCGGGGCGGGUUCACAGGUGGUGCAUGGUCGUCGUCAGCUCGUGUCGUGAGAUGUUGGGUUAAGUCCCGCAACGAGCGCAACCCU